GACCCAGGGGAUGCUCCCAGGAGAGGCAAAGAUGCACAUCACCAGGCCUGGCAUUCCCUCCCCUCUCUCAGGUCUCCGACACUGUGCCAAGAGAAAAAUCUCUCCUGGAUCUGUCUGCAAAGGCUUUGGACUUCUGCCAGUUCUCCUGUAGGAAGCCCAGACUACCAUGCUUACACCAUCCUGCAGAGAGCCACAUUGUGGGAAGCAGAGACGCACCAUUUCUCACCAGUGAUCCCAGACCAGCUAGUCCACAAGAGCCCAGUAACAGGCCAAAGAUACCCAAGUGAGUCAGCUGGGAGCAAAGGAGUCACCCAGCCAAGCCCGACCUGCAUGGCUGAUUGUCUGUUUGUGGUCCUGGCUCUCCUGGCUCCCGAGAUACAGAUCAACUGGCCUCGAACUCACGGAGAUCCUACUGCCUCUGCCUUCUAGUGUUGGGAUUAGAGGUAUGUGUCACCAUGCCUAGCCCAUCCUUGUACUUAUUAGGAGUUUAGCUUCUGGCUGGAUUACCCAUCUCAGAGUGAAGUAAAGAUGGCAGCUUGUUCUCUACUGUCAGACAAGGACUUUAGCAAAAUCGGCCCCCCCUAGCUCCAGUCUUCUGGAAGAUUCUUACCACACCCUAAAGAGCCCACAGGAACCCUGACAUGUUUAAAUUGCUGACAAGGUGGGUGUGGAGGAAGCAGCUAUAAUGAAGAAGAAACCUUUCUUCUACAAGAAAGAGAAACCUUAGGCUCUUGCUGAGACAACAGGGAAGGAGCCCAGAGAGCAGGAUCCCAUGGAAGAGUCACACAGGAUGUGGACACUGAUCAGACCUGACCUGGCCUGGUCUUUGACUUUGCCUGUGUCAUCACGCCUGGGGUUGGAACUGCCCCACCCCCACCCAUGAAGACUCCGUCGCCCUUUCCAGGAAAUGUACAGACAAGAGCAGGAAACUGUUGAGUCGCCUAUUUUUCUUUCCCUGCAAAAUGGUUUUAUUAUUUUCGUUGAACAAAAA
rnacentral:lncRNA from 1 species